rnacentral:lncRNA from 1 species
GGAUCUGAACGCUCUUCAGUAGUUUUGUGCGCUCAGAUCCCAGCUAUCUGGGGAUAUGUGAAAUGUCUGUGUCUUAUGUGAAAAGGUUACUUUAUGUAUUUUAAAGUGUUUUGUGUCUUUUUGCAACCAUGUGCUUAAUGGAGUCUUGUGUCCGUCCUGGGAGAUAAUUGAAUUACUCUCCAGGAUAGAAGACUCUGAAACUGGUUUGGGCCAGAAAGCCAUGCUUCAUUUAGUCACAAGGGACUUUUUACUAACUUUUGAACCCCUUGUCUGAUUUGUG